rnacentral:rRNA from 1 species
UUGCCGGCGACCGGCGCACGGGUGAGUAACGCGUAUCCAACCUGCCCUUUACUAUGGGACAGCCCGUCGAAAGGCGGAUUAAUACCGUAUGUUGUCAUGUUGAUGCAUAUUUUCAUGACCAAAGGCUUCGGCCGGUAAAGGAUGGGGAUGCGUCUGAUUAGCUUGCCGGCGGGGUAACGGCCCACCGGGGCGACGAUCAGUAGGGGUUCUGAGAGGAAGGUCCCCCACAUUGGAACUGAGACACGGUCCAAACUCCUACGGAAGGCAGCAG